AAGUCGUAACAAGGUUUCCGUAGGUGAACCUGCGGAAGGAUCAUUACCGAGUGCUACGAGCGAGAGCUCGUUACCUCCCACCCUUUGUGAACAUACCUCUGUUGCUUUGGCGGCUCUCGCCGCGAGGGGAGGCCCUGAGAAGGGCCCGCCCCCCUCGCGCGCCCUCCGCCAGAGGACCUUCAAACUCCAGUCAGUAAACGUCGACGUCUGAUACACAAGUUAAUAAACUAAAACUUUCAACAACGGAUCUCUUGGUUCUG
rnacentral:misc_RNA from 1 species